GAUAGAGGGUGCAAACGUUGUUCGGAAUUACUGGGCGUAAAGCGCGUGUAGGCGGCCCUGCAAGUCGGAUGUGAAAUCCCACGGCUCAACCGUGGAAGUGCAUUCGAAACUGCAGGGCUAGAGUCCUGGAGAGGAAGGUGGAAUGCUUGGUGUAGAGGUGAAAUUCGUAGAUAUCAAGCGGAACACCGGUGGCGAAGGCGGCCUUCUGGACAGUGACUGGACGCUGAGACGCGAAAAGCGUGGGGGAGCAAACAGGGAU
rnacentral:rRNA from 1 species